rnacentral:lncRNA from 1 species
AAUUCUGGUCCUUUUCAGAAGGGAGGUGGAAAAAAGCAUGUAAAAGAGAUUUUUGAUACUUCAUGGUAUAUUGACUGAACAGCAGAAAGCUCCCCAGUCUGCUCGUUCCCCUUUAAAGCUUGGAUAUGCUUGUGGCAACACUUCUUUCUUGUUCUCCAUGCCACCUACAGAUGAGGAACCUGAAAAAAAACUCCUCUUCAUUCAAACAGCAAAGUUUUCUCCACUGUAGGCAUUAUGUGGGCUUGCUGGGGGGCAUGAGCUGGUCUUCCUCCACUGGGUACCACGGAAGGAGAGACAGUGCAUCCCUGGGCUCUUGAAUUGUUAAUGUUAACUCCUACUGAACUCAACUUCAUUUCCUAAUGGAGAGACAGCAUUCUGAACUGUUAAAGAUAUGUUCUUUGGGAAUGAAAGUCAUAAUAAAGUACAGCUCAUUACAAAGGGAUGGAAAAGC